CCAGGACAGUAACUGUCUGAGUUUGCUGCAGACUGUGGCACCUAUAUGACGUCAAUAAAGUAAAAUGACAUAAAACUUCAAUGCAACAAGCAUUGCACCAGUUCACGCCGAACGAAAGUACACACACCCCAGCUGCACUGCGCCUCCCCUAUUCUCAGUGAUGGAGUGGUACAUCCCAGCACCUCUCCUCUCCUCCUUCUCCUGCUGUGUCCUCCAUCACUCCAUUUCCUUUGAUUCUGUUUCUCCUUGAGGACGGAUUCAGGCCUUCCUGCAGAGCGUAUCUCUUGGUUUCUCAUCCUCCGUCUCUCCAGACUCCUUCUUUGAAGGGUUACAAGGCGACAUAAAGAAGAAAGCUCAGGAAAACCUGCAGGAUUUCCUUGACCCCUUGAUCCCACUCCCACAUGGAAGCAAAAGCCAAAGGAGCAUCAAAGUCUGCCUCCAAAGCAGAGAAGAAGGAGGCAGCACCACCGCCAAAGCCAGACCCCAUCUCUGCUGAACCCAAAGAACCCGAGAAUCCGGAGGAAGAUGGAGAAACCAAUCAACAGGGGACGGAGGAGUCUGCGGGAUGUAGCUGUGAAGCCUUAGAAAGUUUAAAGCCUUUCCUGAUUGGAGGAGCUGUUAUCGCACUUGGAGCUGUAUUGGUGGGCGUAAUCUUAUUAGUCAAGAAAAAC